GAUCGGCAGGUGGGGGGAGGCAGCUGGCAGCGGUCGUCGAGUGGGGGACGCAGCCGGCAGCGCUGCUCACACAGCUGAGCUGAGGCUGCAGCGGGAGGGAGCGCCGUAACUACAAGGCUCAGCUGCUGCGGGCUAUAUCUCUUCCAGUAAUAAAGAUGCCGCUCUGAUUGGGUGCCCGUCAGCUGGGCAACUCACACAGCUGUGCUGAACCAGCAGCGGGAGGGAGCACCAGAGCGGGUGCAGAUGCUAGGCUGCCAGUAGUAAACAUGUAUGACUGGGGUGAGAGAGGCUGCCCACACACUGCAGUGCAAGUGCAGUAGGCUGCCACUGAGGACGAGGGAGGAGGCGAGGAGCCAGUUUCCACUUUACUGACGUACAGCACAGUGAGGUGGAAGCGGACGCCGGGAGGAAAUCACAGAAGACAAAGUUUUCAGACAAGUUACCAGACAUCAGCAUGCCGGUUGGAGGAGCCAGUUUAUCCAUGGUUACUCACUGUUUGAAGAGAGGAGCACACGGUAGGAUUUGCAGACACUGAGUAUCACAGCCUUACAGACUUCUGCAAGAUUCUUUCACACUCUGAGAGCACUAGCAGUCCAAGUUAAACUUCUUCUGACACCAUGUUUUGUUCAUAAGUUUGUAAAUUCAGUCAUAAGGAUACAGAGACAUGUGAGUUCACUGCUGUGCUGUUUUUAUUCCAUCAUCAACUCCAGGCACACUGCACACUGGACCACUCACUUCCCAGUAUCCCCCUGGUCCCAGGGACCAUCACUGAAGAUUCAGGCUUAUACAUAUUAGUAAGGGAGUGUCUACAAAUAUUAAGCAUUCUAAUACACUAACAUCACACAGCUGGCUACUGCCAACAGAUACGUCCCACAGCCACACUGACACCAGAGCCCUCAGUUAGUGGCAAUUCCCAUAGCUAUUCGGGGACAGCAGGGAGAGAGAGAGAUUUGCUAGAGCAGAGAAUACUAGAGGGAGAGACUUAAAUUGUCACUAGACCCCGCUGCUCCUCAAUGUGACUCUAUUCUGAAGAUAGAGCAGGAUACCUAAUCUAACAAGGGUUAAGGAGUCUAUCAUAAACCAAUACUUGAGAAAGAGAGAGACACUUAGCACAGAGAUCCAUUUCAGUGACGUGCUGUAGCACAGGAGGCAUGUUUAUAAAGGGGAACUGUGUGCUGCUAAUUCACUGCUGCUUGUACUGUUUCAGUGGACUUAUUCUUGUUGGAGUCACCUAUUUACCUCUGCCACCUAUACUCACUAACCGCUGUUCUAAAAGAAACUGAGUUACUUUGCUAGACACCCUACUUGCAUGUGGGCAUAGCUAUAGGAGGACUAUGCUUUGCCUUGUGAUAUACAUAUUAAUUACUAACUCUGUCCCUCUUGCUUUUACCAUGUUCACCUGCUUGUUGCAAAUCAAAUAGUGCAUGACAUUCUCCCCUUUGUGUCUGAACUGCAUUCUUUGGAUGAUGCAUCCGUACUUACUGAUAGUACUCAGCUUUACUUGCUACUCUAAGACUGCAACUAAUAAAGCUGUUGAUACAGUGAAACGCGUUGGUUAAGAGAAGUUGGACACUACAGACUCCAUCUUUCUAUACUUGGAACAAGCCUAGAAGUCCGUAUACAAGCCAAAGCGGAGAUUUGACAGAUAUCCACUAAAAACAUAGGAGACCAAGCUUCAAAUAGGACUGGGUUGCUGCUCGGAACAAAGCAAAGGUCUGUCCUAAAGAAAUCUGUGGACCCUUAUCUGCCGGCAUUGCAAAUUGCCCCCAGGACUGUGGCAUAAGUUCCUUGGAGUACACACACCAACUGAUUGCUCAACUUCUUGUAUGGUAAUAUACCAGACUAAUUGCUGUGCUUGCCUAAACUUUUUACAAACACUUUUUUUCUUUUUAUAUUCGAUGUACAUCUAUGAAUUGAUUUUUAAAUUAAUUGUUGCAACAAAUUUUAUUUAA